ensembl:miRNA MIR592 microRNA 592
UUGUGUCAAUAUGCGAUGAUGUGUUGUGAUGGCACAGCGUCAUCACGUGGUGACGCAACA